rnacentral:rRNA from 1 species
AGCGGCAAAAGCUCAAAUUUGAAAUCUGGUACCUUUGGUGCCCGAGUUGUAAUUUGGAGAGUACCACUUUGGGACUGUACUUUGCCUAUGUUCCUUGGAACAGGACGUCAUGGAGGGUGAGAAUCCCGUGUGGCGAGGGUGUCAGUUCUUUGUAAAGGGUGCUCGAAGAGUCGAGUUGUUUGGGAAUGCAGCUCUAAGUGGGUGGUAAAUUCCAUCUAAAGCUAAAUACAGGCGAGAGACCGAUAGCGAACAAGUACAGUGAUGGAAAGAUGAAAAGAACUUUGAAAAGAGAGUGAAAAAGUACGUGAAAUUGUUGAAAGGGAAGGGCAUUUGAUCAGACAUGGUGUUUUGCGCCCCUUGCCUCUCGUGGGCUUGGGACUCUCGCAGCUCACUGGGCCAGCAUCGGUUUUGGCGGCCGGAAAAAACCUAGGGAAUGUGGCUCUGCGCCUCGGUGUAGAGUGUUAUAGCCCUGGGGAAUACGGCCAGCCGGGACCGAGGACUGCGAUACUUGUUAUCUAGGAUGCUGGCAUAAUGGUUAUAUGCCGCCCGUCUUG